rnacentral:lncRNA from 1 species
UGGCAACCGGCGAGUAGCGUCUGUAUGGCGUCUGUAGUGGAAAAUAUGAGGCGUGGAACAUGUGAAACUCGGUUGAUUUUGUGCGAUUUUGGGUCCGUAUUGUCGAAGCUAUCGUAACCUGAAGUAAUCUGCUACCGAAUGCAUUGACGCUUCGUGGAGUUACAGCUGAACUGUCCGUCGAAAUGAGUGCUGUCUUACUUCGGAAGUCAUACUGAGGGGCCACGUGUACUAGGCCACACCCUUGUCAAAUGUCACCCCGGUGCACGGUAAUGGUGGCAUCCUUCUAUUUUUUCUUUUUUUUUUUCAGUUUUGUAUCAAAGACAGCUAUUUUUGCUUAGUUCUUUUGACUCUUCCACUCAUAUUUCAAAUAUUGAAAUUAGCUUCGUGGCUCCUCUAUAUCUACUGAUAUCUGAAACUAGGUUCUUAUGUGGUUUAAGAUUUCCUUGCAGAUGACCUUUUUUAAUGCAAGGUUAAUAUGUCACACUUGUGUUACUGCGUAGGUGCCUGUUACCAUGGGCUUCUCCCGUUUUCGGGUUGCUUAUUUUAUUUCUAAACUUCCUCCGUAGGUUGCGUCUUGACUUUGGCUGUUUACGUAGCACAAUUCCUAGGCCCUAUCAAAUUUCGAAGAAAAGCUUUUGCCCUAUCUUGAUGUUUGAUAAUGUCCAUUAUUAGUGCUUUAUAAUGUGGCCUCGAAGUCAUGGUUCUUUAAUUUUACAUAAAACGAUUUUCUGAGCAGUGCUUAUCCUUAUAUUUAAACAUCAUUUCUGGUAUGCAUCUUUAGAUUUAUUUGUUCCUGACAUUACGGAUGUGCUCACUUAUGCGGCCAUGGGAGCAUUUGUGUAUGUGCCAUUUUUAAGUUUCAAUAACUCAUCCAUUUCAGUGCCAGGCAAACUUCUGUAGCAACACUUAUGCAAGACCUGGAGGUAUUUUCUCUGAAUAACUUGAUACAUCAUGCCUGUCAAUUUUCUAGUCAUCUUGUAGAAUGUUUACAUGUAUUAAACAACAACAAAUGUUUAUCCUGUUCUGUCAUGUCACUCGUGGCUUAGUAGCUGCAGCAUUCUUCUGCUGUACACGAGGUUAUGUGGUUGAAUUCCUACAAGCAGCAGCUGAAUUUUUAUAAAAGAAUGCGGAAACACUUGCAUGCCAUCUCUGCUGAGAUAGCAAUGCUUGUUAAGGAAGUGCAGUUCAAAAUUUACCCAGAGCCCCGGCUACAGUAUCACUCAUGGCCAAGUAUCCACUCUUUGCCGUGAUGCCUCUAGUUACAUUUAAUACAUAGCUGUUUGUGUCAUUUUUUUUGUCAUCCUUUUCUGAAAUGUCUUUGCCUCUUUGAUAAGGAGUAGACAUGAUAAGAUUGUUUUUCUUUCCAUGUUAUCGUUAAUCUGUAAUUGUUUUGUUGUCCACUCAUGUUGAAGAAGCUGUGAUGCAGUUUAAUAUAGAACAAAAUAAAAUAGCAAAUAUUCGUGCACGUUUCCUGUGCAUUUGGAAAACGAUAUCGAUCUCCAAUUGCUAUAUUAACAUUGAGCGCCGAUGUUUUAGACAAGGAAUGGAUAUAACAUAAAAUACAACAGAGAUGAUGAUAGCAUCAUCAAAAGGACUUACUGCUUGGCAAAUCGGUGUGGUUUACUGUAUAAUUUUAUUUUAAUGGCGUGACAGACACGAUACGGCGAACAUGACGCACAUGGGUGCUUGUGUGCCAUGCUCCCUGUGUGGUGUCUGUUGUUUGGGUUAUUAAAAAUAAUGUAUGAUGUACACAAUGAUAAUUGCAUUUGUUAAAAAGGAAUUCACUCAAGCCAGUCGCAGUAAAAGUAAAAAACUUUCAAAUGUAGCACUUUGUGAAAAACAAAUACAAACAAAAAGAGGGUGAUAUUAGUCUCAUGUUAAUACAACAUCAGUAUAGGGUGGCCCCAACUAUCUGUAGCAUGUGGCAUUUAAUAAAAAAUGUGUUCCUGUGA